CCUACGGGGGGCAGCAGUCGAGAAUCAUUCACAAUGGGGGAAACCCUGAUGGUGCGACGCCGCGUGGGGGAAUGAAGGUCUUCGGAUUGUAAACCCCUGUCAUGUGGGAGCAAAUUAAAAAGAUAGUACCACAAGAGGAAGAGACGGCUAACUCUGUGCCAGCAGCCGCGGUAAUACAGAGGUCUCAAGCGUUGUUCGGAAUCACUGGGCGUAAAGCGUGCGUAGGCGGUUUUGUAAGUCGUGUGUGAAAGGCGCGGGCGAAACCCGCGGACGGCACAUGAUACUGCGAGACUAGAGUAAUGGAGGGGGAACCGGAAGUCUCGGUGUAGCAGUGAAAUGCGUAGAUAUCGAGAGGAACACUCGUGGCGAAGGCGGGUUCCUGGACAUUAACUGACGCUGAGGCACGAAGGCCAGGGGAGCGAAAGGGAUUAGAUACCCUGGUAGUC
rnacentral:rRNA from 1 species